GGUGACUCCUGCAGGUCGGCCUGCUGCCCCGGGCCUUUGUCUUCCCCUUGGCUCCGCCUCUCCAGCUGCAGGCCUGCACUUGUUCUCCUCAAGGGCCCGGGCUGUUCCUGCCCACAGUGCAGCAGGCGGCCUGUGGACCCAGGCCAGUGGAUGCGGUUCACUCUCUAAGGGGCGUGAGGGGAUGGGAGGGCGCUGCCCCUGAAGCACCAGUCUCUCCUCAGCCAGCAGGAAUUUUAAGAUGUCAAAACGUCAUAAGAUAAGGAAAUAGGAAAGCAUGAUUAAUACAAAAGUGUGGUAACCAAGCUUUGACACAAGAGUACAAGUCAGAAAUGGAGGAGCUGGAAGCAGUGCUGUUAAACGUGAAGCAGCCGACAGAAAUUAGGAAACACUGCAAGAAAUGAAAGCAAUUUCAGAAAUAACAACGAGAAAGAAUCUAAGAAUAAGGCCCCCCUGACCUGCAGCUUCUUCUGGCCCAGACCCACGCCCUGCUCUGCUCGGUCCAGGUGGGUCUCCCGGUUUCACGGGCCUCCUGCAUCUGUGUACGCAGGUCCAGUCCUGGUGUCUGCUCCUUUCGGGGCACGUGCUUUCGAUGGCACGCGGGGCAGCAGCGACAGGGCCUUCUUGCAGGCAGACCCCGCGUGCUCUCCAUGCAAUCAGGACCCAGGACGUGGGCAAAGAACUUCCCAAGGGAAUCAGAAUGGGGUGCAAAUGAGAAGUCUGUGUUCAUAGACUGAUAGCAACUGAAAUGUGCGACAGGACUAAAACCGUCUGGUGAAAAUGCUGAAAGGAGGGGGUCCCUGCUGCAUCCCACUGUCAUGGCUGGAAGCAGCCCAUCCUGGCCUGGGAAGGUCCAGGUAUGAUGGAGGUGUGAGCCGCCAGCUUCCAGGAUAAGCACCAGACUGCGGUGUAGACCGUCAGGGGAUGGAUACGAAGAGGUUUGCCACACGGCCAAGGCAGAGUUCUGAGGCAGACCCUCGGCUCAGAGCUAAACCUGUGCAAAUACUGUCUGUUCUCCAGAUCCCUCCCUCGCCCACGGCCCCGUCCUGUGCUGCUGCAUCUCAGAGGGAAACGUGAGCCGCCAAGGCCAGUGCUGAUGACAGCAGCCGGAAACACCUGUCGGGAUUUCCUCCCUCUCAUCAGAAUCCUGGGAGACGCAUCCCAGUCCACCUGCCUCCCACUUGCGGAAGGACCUCUCACAGCUCAGGGCUCUCCCAGCGCCUGGCACCACAGCCACAUGGCUCCGAGCCUGGCCGCUCAGGCCCUGCAUUCGCCUGUCUGUGGGCUUCAGCAGGGGCACGGCCCUCUUGUCCACAUAUCAAAGGCAUCAAACAAGUGAACGUGGUGGCCAGGGUGCCUGACCCGCGGUGCUCGGCGGUACACACAGGUCGGUCACGGAGCCGGGUCUGCAGAGAGACAGGAGGUCCUGUCCCCUUGUGCCUCUGCCAGGAGAGGGACGUGUGGCAGCUGAGCCUGGACCCUGUUCCCUGACGGCUCAGCCAAGCUCCCACGCAGAUCGUUCCUCCCAGAUAGCCUGCUGGGACCCAGGACUGCAGCCCGAGCUCAGAGCUUCAGCCGGCGCCCUUCCUGCCAGGGUUGCCGCAGGCCCCGCACCUGCUCCUCCUCGGCCUUGAGGUCCUGCAGCCAGCUCUCUGCGGCUGUGACAGCCAUGACAUCCCUGGUGCCGGAGACGCACAUUUGGACGCUGUGAUGCUGGCUGGCGUGGUUGCGACUCCAGGCUGCCCAUCCCUUUUCUGCUAAUUCAUCUUAUUGCACUUUGCAAAAGCAUUGGGAGGCGCGGAGGGGAAGCCCAGCAGGCGGAGGGUCGAGAAGGUUCUGGAGACCAGGUGGACUGGCUGGGACUCAGGGGUAGCAGGGGCACCUGGGGCCCCAGGGCGUUGGUCACGUUUGCGCCCAGCUGGAGGGCCAGGCAGCCGAGGGGCACUGGCUGCUGCCUGAGUUCUGGGCCGACAGGGAGGGAGUUUCUCUAAACGGCCCCACAACACUCCAGCCCCGGGCUGCUCGGCCUGUGGGUCUUGCUCCAUCGUGCCUGGAACCCACAGCCCCGACAAGGACCACAGCCCCCACAAGUGGCUGGACCCUGCUGGUCCGGCUGCUCCCUCGCUGUGGCCUGGGCCCCCCAGGACACGCACCUCCUGCCAGGGUGCAGGGAGGGGCUGUGGCUCUACCAGCUCUCUGCAACAGGGAGGGCUGAUCCCCCACUGGCCCGAGGCCUCCAGGGCCACCUGCGGUGCACUCACAGGGCGCUUGACAGGAGGCCCGGGGCCCAGGACACUCCUGCGCUCACAGUGGGCACCUGCGUGGGGACAUCUGCCUGGGCCCCUCGGGUCAUGCAGAUGCCCCAGCCCUGCCUGAGCAGGGUCAGUGCUGCCAGGAGCCAGGAAGGCCAGUGGACACAGCAGCUCACUGUCCACUAUGGGGCUGGGUGUCACUGAGUGCUGGGCGCUGACCGCCACCCAGGAGAGGCUGGCAUGUGCAGAUUCUGAGUCACUAGGCCUGGCCAAGGCCACAGAGGGCUCUGGUGUGAGGACGGCAUGGCUGCGCCCAGGGCCUGGGCUGACACUGGGCGCUGCCUCUUCCCGCCUUAGUGACCUCGGCAAGCCCUUCAUCCCUGUGUGCCUCAGUUUCCCCAUCUAGGAGUGCAGUGGCAGAUCCGGCUCAAAGUGCUAUCGUGGAGUUGAGUUACUUAACAGGUCAGGAAGCUGAGCGUACCCAGCACCCCUGGGCCCACGUGGGCUGGGGGCUUUCCCUGUCAUAGGCCUGGGACCCAGCCCUGGCAAGCACAGCCCCCAAGCGCCCCACUUUCUCACAUAGAGGUGGUGGGUGGUAGCUUUCACUGGAUCUGCCUCCUGCCCCUGAGGUCUUUCAUUUGACGGAUGAGGACAUUGAGAGCCAGGCAGGCGGGGCUGGGCCUGAACCCCGUGUCUCCAGCCCUGACCCUACACUCUCUGUUGGGCGGCUCUGUGGAUGCCGAGUGGUACCAGCCCUGCCGGAUGGCGACCUCCCUCCCCAGGGGUGGUGCCCUGUUCACGCUGCUUCUGUCCUGGAGCUUGGGUGCUCCAAGACCAGGGUGUCCCAGGGCCAUGCUCUCUCUGAGGCUCUGGGGGAGGGUCCUUCCUGCCUCUUCCAGCUCCUGGGGCUCCAGGCAUCUCUGGGCCGCAUCUCCCCAACCUCUGUCUUGGUCUUCACGUGGCCUCCCCUGCGUGUCUCAUAUGGACACCUGUCAUGGGAUUUGAGGCCCCUUGGAAAUCCAUGAUGGUCUUAUCUCCAGGUCCUUAACUUAACCACAUCCACAGACACCCCCUUCCAAACGAGGUCCCACACGCAUGUAGUGGGGUUUGGACAGGGACACAUCUUUGGGGCCACCCUUCAGCCCACCACAGACACUGAGCAGCUUCCCUGGCCCCUCCCACCCUACUGACUGUCAAAAUUGUCCCUGGAUGCUGCAGAUGUCCCCGGCCCAGAACUGGGCUCAGAGCCGGUUCAAGGGGCCUUUGCCCCACCCUCUCUCCCUGGACUCUGGACUCAAGGAUCCUCAGUGGAUCUGGGGGAUUGACAGAGUCUUAGGCCUGCUUGGAGUUUGUUAAUCUCGAAGGCCCCACACCCCGAGGCUGCCCCCCUUUCACUUCGUCUUAAUGGGAGCGGCUGCCUGAGCAGUGGCAUCCGUGCUCACGGGGUGCUGCUGCUGCGGGCUGGGGCUCCUGGGCACUGCGGUGGGAGUGGAGCUCCUGAGCCAAAUCUCAGGGAUGAGCUCUGGUGGGACGCCCCGAGUCCCCGUCAGCCAGCUGUUCUCGGACCCUGAAGGAGGCUGGACAAGGGGAGCUGGCGGCACAGCCUGGCAUGAAGCAGGCCCUCGACACCCAGGACAGGAUGUGCUGCGUCCUGGGCAUGGCCUGAGGGCUGGACAUGGGGCCACGGCCGUCAUGUUUGGUGUGGGCUCUGGCCCCGCACAGAGCAGAGCGGCUCACCCUGCUCCAGGCCGCAUGAGAACCUGGCAGCCAACCCUGGCCAUCAUGCCCAAACCGGCUGAGUUUCCAUGACCCCAGACUGCCCGGUCUGAGCUGGAACCUGCAGGGCUGAGGGGCAGACGCAGGCCUGGGUGACCCCCAGCACCAUCGGGGGCUACGGGGCCCCGUCUGUCUUGGCUUUACUUGUCAUCAGAGAACAAGUCAGAGUGGUCGUGCCUUCUAGCACCUUCCGGGGCCAACCACUUAGUCCGUCUCAGAACAUCAGGAAUAUCGAAAUUCAGCCUGGAGAUGGAAACACCUGGAAAGUGAACCAGUGGUCCUCCCGUCAGCCCCUGGGUCCCUGGUGCCUGGCGACCCGUAUUGAUCACCUGGAGCUGGCCCUGAGCAGUGGGACUCCCGAUGGGCUGAACCCGCCUUCCCUGCUGCACACGGUGAGGGGCAGCGGGACGAGGAAGGAGCCGGUCGGGAAGGCACCCGUCAGAGCCGUGGCCUCACACCUGGAGCCGGUGUAGGAGCCGUGCGGACAGCGCUCCGGGACCCCGCGCCUGGGCUGCCUGGAGGAAACGGCUCCCGCUGCGCGGAGGUUCAUCUCCGGCUUAACUGAAGGGCACUGGGAGCAGCCGAGCACGCGCCCAGGAGACAGAUGCCAGCCCUGCAGCGGCUCGAGACCCAGGAAAACUAAGCUGACACCGACCAGGCUGAACCUCCGAAGCGGAUGGGAGGGGUGGCUCCUGGGGCCCCGGGAGCACUGUGACCGUGCUUUUGGAGGCCCCUCUAGCCUUCGAUUUUCUUGCUGUUCCAGCAGCCCACAGCCUGGGGGCAAAGGGCCAAAUUUCCUUAUUUUUGCCAAAUUCUCUUGUCUGCCCUGACCCGUGCUCAACACCCUGGCCUGUCUCCUCCCUCUCGGGUUCAUUGGGAGGAACAGCGGGUCUCGUGUUCCUGCAGGAGCCCCGGCCUCAGGAUGAGCAUGUGCUUGCAUUCUUUGUACUUUGUGCCAUGAGUGAAAACAUUGGCUUUUCUGGCGAAGUUUCUUUAGUGCAGGCAGCGUUCUCGGGUCAUGAAAGCAAGUCCUUUCCUUCCACGGUCCGCCCUGGAGAUUCUUCUAUCUCUUUGCCUCAUUUUAGCUUUUUCUGUUGAUCCCUCAGCCGAGAAGAAAGAACUAGAGUUUGCUCUCAGAGGAAGGCAAGCAAGAGGGUGGGAAACGGCAGCUCGCUCCAGGUCAGGGCUGGCACCGCAGUGUGCCUGGCAGGGCACCCUGGGGACACCCGUGGAGGGGAGCGGCCAGGCCACGUUCCGUCCGCCGUGUGAGCAGCAGCAUUGGGGGGAGAGGCCCAGUCUGGGGCCCGGCCCAAGCUCUCCGUCUGUGGGACCAUCGGUGUGGCUCCUCCUGUGCGUCCAAACGCCCCACCUGAUGCUGCUUUCUGAAGACGACCUGAGGUGACACCACGUAUACUUGAGGGUGGAUGUCCAGCAUGAGGACACACCAUCCUUUGAGAGGACCAGGCACACACGAGGGUGGAUGUCCAGCGGGAUGAUGCCCAGUCCUCCUUAUGGCCCUGAGGGGUCAGCUUUUGGCCCAGCGCUGUCCCCGUCUGGCACACUGAGGCCAGGUGCCAAUUUGGAAGAGGCCGUGUCCAGUCCUACAGGCCAUCAGCACUGGCUGGGACCCACGACUGUUAGCGUGGAUGGCAGCAAGGCGGCCUCGUGGGUUUACAGCCUCCGCAGCUGGGCCCUAUCAGGGCGCACGUCCCACUGGACUCAGCUGCUCAGAAGAGCCAGCACGUUGCUGGGAAUGCAGCGCCUUCGACGUCUGGCACAGCGCCUCCCUCUGAAGUCCGGCCAGCCGGCGAUAAACCAUGGAGUGACCUCCCUGGCUGACCCAGCUGGACCUCCACACAGACCACAGGUCAGCCAGUUCCUGGGAGCAGCCAAGAUCCAACCACCCUCCUGCGGCCUGUGGGGACCUGGGGCCACUGCCCAGGGCUGUGCUGGGUGGCCGCCCACCCCCGGCACUGGCACCAGCCUCCCCUCGCUGAUGGGUCUGCCAGGAGCCGGAGGAAGUAGUGUGGUCAGGCCUGGCCGUGGGGUGUAAGAGCUGAUUAACCAGCGACAAACACUCCAGGCACCUUCCCCGUGUGUAGCGUCCACCUGCCCCACCCCUGCCCCCUCCCGGGACCUCCCGCCUGUGCCCUGUCUCUCAGACCUUUACACACGUGAACAACCACAGCAAGCGAGGAGCUCCUAGCUCGCGCCCCGUCUAACCUGCGGUUCCACGCAGUCUGUCUGACCAGGCGACGGGGGCAGCAGGAGACAGCCCCGCCCGGGUCCACGGCUGAUGGGGUGCCUCUGGGGGACCCCGGUGGCCCUGGCGCUGGAGUGGCGGGCACCUGGGUUUUCUCCCGGGUCUCCCUCCUUGACGAUCUAUGCGGUUUCUUGGGUCUUUUAUCAGAAGGACCAGCUGCCAGAUGGUUUUCUCUGUCUUGGGGCCUGCAGCUUUGUCGUCACACAGACAGCCUGUAACAACAUUGAAAUGAAGCAGAGGAUGCUGUCACAGGAGGCGCUGCUGACAGCCUGACGUUUCCGGGGCGACGGCCCUGUGUGCAGCCGCGUGGCGUUCCACCCCCUGGGUGAAACCAAGACCCGUGAGCCCGCAGAGAGCUCCCCUGGGGCUUGGGGGUGACAGACGCCCUUGGGGACAGCCUCUGCCCCACAACAGACCAUCUCACUGCAGACCACGCCUCACAGGUCCGGGGCCCAGCCGGCUUCCCAGCAGUUGGGCAGUUUUGAUGAAGGAAAGUGUCAGCCUGACUCUCAGCAAAGAACGCAUCUUUCCUUGCGUCUCACGAUAGUAAGGUUUCCCCUGUGCUGACAGAUGCAGAAGCCCACAUGUUUCUCGCCUCUCUCUGUGCAGUCAGUUCAACAACUGUAGGGCCCCAAUUUCCUUCAGGAACAUCAUGGGAACCACAGGCCCUUCUCUGGGAAAACGCUCACAUUUCUCCGCACGUGACUGUUGACCUCACAUUCAGGGCUCCGAGAACCUGCGGCCUGCACAGUCCCAGGCAGUGGCGGGUCCCUGUCGGCUCUGAGAUGCGCUUCUUCUGAGCAAGCCCUGCCGGCUCGAGGGCGCGGGCUGGGUGGUGGGUAUCGUCCUUCGUGGGGCUUUGAGGUUCUAGCUGGAAACUUUCUCCUUCACGUUCAGGUGUUAGGUCCUGUGGCUGCUGUAAGAAAAGGCCACAAACUUCACAGCCUAAAACAACAGAAAUUUGUCCUCUCUCAGCUCUGGGGCCAGAAGUCUGACAUCAAGGUGUCACAGGGCCUCGCCGUCUCCGGGGCCCCCAGGGGAGGGUCCCUCCUGCCCCCUCCGUGUGUGUCUGUGGGCCUGUCGCAUAAGGACGCUGUCACUGGAUUUACAGCCGGCCUGUGUAAUCCAGGAAGCUCCCAUCCGAAGACCCUUAACUGGAUCACAUCUGAAAGACUUCCCAGCCUGCUCUCAUUCACAGCUUCCAGCCCAUGACAAUCCCACAUGCGCUGCGUGGGUCCCAACAAUCGCGUUCGUGGUCAGGGCCCAGGACGUGGCCCCCACCGCCUUCAUGGGGAGAGCGUCCUCCCCACCUGCUUCCUUCCACAAGACUUCGUCUGCGCUGUGCUCCCAGAGAAACCUGCUGGGUGUUGAUGGGAAUCGCACCGGUUCGUAGACCCAUAGGGACGCGGUCUUCACAGGAUCCAGUUUUGUGCUCCGUCACCAUGGUGAUCUCUCCUUGGAUUUAGGUCUUUAUUAACG
rnacentral:lncRNA from 1 species